GACGAACGCUGGCGGCGUGCCUAAUACAUGCAAGUAGAACGCUGAAGGAAGGAGCUUGCUCUUUCUGGAUGAGUUGCGCACGGGUGAGUAACGCGUAGGUAACCUGCCUGGUAGCGGGGGAUAACUAUUGGAAACGAUAGCUAAUACCGCAUAAAAUUGAUUAUUGCAUGAUAGUCAAUUAAAAGGUGCAACUGCACCACUACCAGAUGGACCUGCGUUGUAUUAGCUAGUUGGUGGGGUAACGGCUCACCAAGGCGACGAUACAUAGCCGACCUGAGAGGGUGAUCGGCCACACUGGGACUGAGACACGGCCCAGACUCCUACGGGAGGCAGCAGUAGGGAAUCUUCGGCAAUGGACGGAAGUCUGACCGAGCAACGCCGCGUGAGUGAAGAAGGUUUUCGGAUCGUUAAGCUCUGUUGUAAGAGAAGAACGAGUGUGAGAGUGGAAAGUUCACAAUGUGACGGUAUCUUACCAGAAAGGGACGGCUAACUACGUG
rnacentral:rRNA from 1 species